UACAGAGGUCUCAAGCGUUUGUUCGGAUUCAUUGGGCGUAAAGGGUGCGUAGGCGGCGCGGUAAGUCGGGUGUGAAAUCUCGGAGCUUAACUCCGAAACUGCAUUCGAUACUGGCGUGCUUGAGGACUGGAGAGGAGACUGGAAUUCAUGGUGUAGCAGUGAAAUGCGUAGAGAUCAUGAGGAAGACCAGUGGCGAAGGCGGGUCUCUGGACAGUUCCUGACACUGAGACACGAAGGCCAGGGGAGCAAACGGG
rnacentral:rRNA from 1 species